rnacentral:rRNA from 1 species
GACGUAGGGCGCGAUCGUUGUCCGGAUUUAUUGGGCGUAAAGAGCUCGUAGGCGGCUUGUUGCGUCGGCUGUGAAAACCCAUGGCUCAACCGUGGGCUUGCAGCCGAUACGGGCAGGCUAGAGUUCGGUAGGGGAGACUGGAAUUCCUGGUGUAGCGGUGAAAUGCGCAGAUAUCAGGAGGAACACCGGUGGCGAAGGCGGGUCUCUGGGCCGAUACUGACGCUGAGGAGCGAAAGCGUGGGGAGCGAACAGG